UGACAGCAUCACCCACAGCCACACCCUCCCCUACAGAAGACCUGACAGCACAGCCCCUCACCAUGGACUGGAGCUGGAGAGUCCUCUGCCUGGUGGCACUGGCUACAGGUGUCCACUCUGAGGUGCAGCUGGUACAGUCUGGGGCUGAGGUGAGGAAGCCUGGGGCCUCAGUGAAGGUCUCCUGCAAGGCUUCUGGAUGUACCUUCAUUAGCUACUAUAUGAACUGGGUGUGACAGGGCCCAGGUCAAGGCCUUGAGUGGAUGGGGGCAGUUAACCCAAACAAUGAUAGCACUGGAUAUGCACAGAAGUUCCAGGGCGGACUCACCGUAACUGCAGACAAGUCUGUGAGCACAGUCUACAUGGAGCUGAGCAGCCUGAGACCUGAGGACUCAGCUGUGUAUUAU